rnacentral:rRNA from 1 species
AUGGAGCUCAAUGUUAACCUUCGCGCUUCUGAUGGCGAGCUCUUGUCUGAUCCGACGCGUUACCGUCAUCUUGUUGGGAGUCUUGUCUAUCUUGCCGUCACUCGUCUAGAUUUCUCAUAUCCUGUCCAUAUUCUGAGCCAGUUUGUUUCCGGUCCCACUUCAGUUCACUAUAGUCACCUUCUUCGUGUUCUAUGA